rnacentral:rRNA from 1 species
CAGUCAUACCAACGGGAAAUCAACCUUUUGAGCUCGGUCUCGUGGGUUUUGAAGAGUUUCAAAGCCUUCGGAUUCGCGAGAUUGGGAUCUCUCGGUGUACUUUCUCGUACGGUUAGUCAACAUCGGUUUUGAAUGUCAUAAAAUGACUGGAGGAAUGUAGCUUCGAUCUCGUAUUGAAGUGUUAUAGCCUUUGGUAGAUGUGAUGUUUGAGACCGAGGAUUGCAACGGAUACCCUUCAGGGCUAUUCGUCUGAUCUCUGAUACGUUGCCUUGAUGUUGAAAGCUUGCUUAUGAUGUUAGGGUAUUACGGUCAAAAGGUUAGAACUCAUUAGA